UUUGGUCCAAUGGGAGAAGCCUUGCACUUACAAUGUUGAGUGCAAGGGUUCGAGCCUCCAUAAGAGCAUUAUGGAGGUUAGUUUCAGUUCUUCCUCAAUUAUCAAUUAAUUGAGUGGAGACAGUCUCUCCCUUACGAAAUGUGAGUGGAGCAGGCACCCCUCGAAUAUUAGAGAGGGUUUAAAAUAUCUAGGCAUAUACUUCAGUGUGUCAAUGUAUAGUGGUAGUCCCAGUUAUAUAAUAUGAUUGUAAAUAUUAAUUGUAAUAUUUGAUGUAAUAUCAGUAAUAUCUCUGUAUAACAGACUUAAAAAAAAAAAAAGUUAUAGGUUAAUUGGACGGCACAAGGUAUAAUUUUGGCAUUUCAUUGAAUUUUCUUGUUACCAGUAAGUGCUAUGAUGCCGUUGCUGACAUUUUUCAGCAUGUAAUCGUAAGACUUUUCAAGCAUUUUUAAUGGCAGCUUUAAUUAUUUGUAAUUGUUUAUUGGAAAAAGGACAUUCAACCCCUCAACGUUUAGAAAAAAAGACAAAAAAUCACUCAACGUUUUAAAAAGGACUUAUAAACCCCUUUCCGUUAACAAACACCAUUUGUUUUAACAGUAAAUUUAUUUUUAAUUUUUAAUUACUAUUAUACCCUUAUAAUAAAAAAAUUAAUAUAUUAAUUUGAGAUAUAUCACAAUUAAUAAUUUUUUAAAAGCUUAAAAUUGAGAUACAAUUAUUUUUUUGCCAAAAUUAUUUACUAUAAAUUAUACCUCUCUAACAAUAAUAAUAUGGUUUUAAUUCCUCAAAGAAAAAGGGUUUAAUCAAAUUUCGUUUUAUUAGUAAUAAAUUAUACCCAUGUGCUUUUCUAAUUACUCUGCUAUAAAGCCAAAGUUUGCGGACCUUAUGAUUCUUUUUUUUUUUUCCAGAAAUAGAUAUACAAAUAAAAUGAACUAAAAAAAAAACGUUGCGUGGUCGUGUGGGUCCUCGAAAUCAUUUGGGCAUUUAAUCGAACAGAUGGAUGCACUCAGCAUCGGCACUUCCACGAAGGUUCUUGGAAGUUGCAAGCGCUGCCGGCAUUUUCAAACUCGGAAGGUUUCAAUAAUUUUUUUUUUCUUUGAAAGAAAGGUUUCAAUAAUUAGCAUUGAUUAUUGUGUAAUAUAUGAUAAUAUGACGACUUAUAUAUGUGAUUAAAAGCUAAGCUAGUGGAUUUGUAAGAAAGCACACACGGCAAAGUAUUGAGCAAGCAUUUUUAUCUUAUUACCAGUACCACAGUCUUCUAAUCGAUUUGCUUUCACCAACAAAAAUAAACAAUAAUUUGUAAAUAGUUGGAACUUAAGCUCAAAUUUUGACAGUAGAUGAAUGAUAAUGUAUACUUAGUUUUCAAGGGUAAACUCUAUUCAAGAGAGGAUCUCAAUUUUUUAUUAGACAAGAUCUAUUCAAGAGAAGAUCAUAGUUAAAGGCUUUGCGUUGACUGGGGAACGUUAAAUACAAAGAAAGACUAUGCUAAAAGAAAAGCAAAAGCGGGCGAGAUUCAUAAAGAAAGACUAAUAAAGCUUUCCUUAUAGCAUUAAUCAUGAUUACUUUGAUAAACUAGAGGUGAUCACUGAUUUAUAUUUUUAGUGCAAAACAGAAUACACUCCAAGAGCUGAUGGCUUAAUUUCUUUGCUGUCCUCGUAUUGUCACAUAUUUUGUAGCUUUCUCAUUUUGAUAAGUCGUUCGCUCAAUAACCUAAACGGAUUAGGGUCUUCAGACUGAAAUCUUUUUAAUUGAAAUUGACAUCACUUCAUUCAUGAUCCAAGAUUCUAUCGUGUAUAAUGGGUAAGACAAUUUUUUUACUUCAAAAAUUUUACAUAAAUUUUUGUAGUUUGAUGGCGUCAAAUCCGAUGGAAACGAUACAAGUGACUUGAAAAGAUCAAUUGAUCAGUGAUUUGUCAAAUGUUUAUUGAUAUUAUUAGGAAAAUUUACGAAAAUCUGCUAGACCAUACAACUUUCCAUCUUUUAGAGUUUGAUCCAGAGCUGCUAGGCUCAUCAGGGGCUUUGAGUUUAAGGGCUAUCUGAUAUUCGCUUCUUACUGAGUAUUCUCCAUGCUUGUCAUAAUGCCACAGCAUCUCAUCCACCUUUUGGCUUCUUGGAAGAGGAAUUUUGAGAAUAGCCUCUGUAUCUUCUUGCAUAAAGUGUUGGUUCAGCUUUGCCACAUCCCAGUUGUUUUCAUCAUCCAUCACCUCACCUACAGUUGUAUCAAUUGGCAAGGUUAGGGGGGAGAUCGGUUUAAAUGUGUCCGGUCUUGGUAUCCAAUUUUCUUUAUAAACCAAAAUGUUACUGCCAUUUCCAAUACGCCACCUCGCUCCUUUUUGAAUCACUUGCCGACCCCAUAAGAUGCUCCUCCAAAUAAAGGAUGGGUUGGAGCCAGGCUUUGCGUCUAAGAAUGAGCAGCUUCUGAAGUAUCUUGCCCGAAGAACUUUGGAAACCAGGGAGUUUGGGAAUUGAAUCAGCCGCCACCCUUGCUUUGCCACCAUAGCUUGGUUAAAGCUUAUGAAGUCUCGAAAUCCCAAUCAGCCCCUACUUUUUGCACAACUCAGUUUGUCCCAUCGAGCCCAAUGGAUGCCCCGCUUGUCUUUUUUUGAACCCCACCAGAAUUUUGCGAUUUCACUCUGAAUUUCCUCGCAUAAGCCUUUAGGGAGCUUGAAGACACUCAUGGCGUAUGAGGGAGCUUGAAGACACUCAUGGCGUAUGCAGGGAUGGCUUGAGCAACAGCUUUUAUAAGGAUUUCUUUGCCUCCACUUGAAAACAUUUUGUGCUGCCAAUUAUUAAUCUUGCUUAAGACCUUUAGCUUGACUUCUCUAAAAAAGCUUGUCUUCUUCCUUCCUAUCAUUGAUGGGAGCCCUAAAUAUUUUUCAUAUUUGGAAACCACCUUGAGGUUUAAGAUGUUUCUUAUUGCUGCUUUCUGCUCCUCAGGAAUCUUGCCUCCAAAAAACAUUGAUGAUUUAUCAAAAUUAAAGAUUUGUCCCGACGCCUUUGCAUAUCUAUCAAAAAUUCCCUUCAGGUGCUUGCAUUCAAUCACUGAUGCAGUUGAGAAGACCAAGCUGUCAUCCACGAAAAGUAAAUGGGAUAUUGUGACAUCCUCCGCAAAUCUUAGGCCGCUGAUGCGUUUUUUCCUUUCUGCCUGUAACAACAAACUUGAGAAGACUUCUGUACAGAUGAUGAACAAAUAUGGGGAGAGGAGACAGCCUUGCCUUAAGCCCCUCUCUGGAUGAAAGAAACCUUUUGGGGUUCCAUUGAUGAUUACUGAAAAAGAAACUGAAGUAAUGCAGCCCAUAAUCAGUUCCAGCCACUUCCUUGAGAAACCAAGCUUCUUCAUUGUUUGUUUCAGAAAAGACCAUUCAACCCUAUCAUACGCUUUGUUGAUGUCCAACUUUAAUGCCACCAGCCCCUUCUUUUUUCCAGCCACAGUUGUACUUAUUAUCUUUUUCUUUUUUCUUUUCCAAUUAGUCUAAUACCAGUGGCGCGGCCUCGUGGGUCCUCAAAUUAUUUAUAUGGGCAUUUCAUCGAACAGUGGAUAUACUCGGCAUGUGCACUUGGAAGACGCGUUCAAAAGCUCUAAAUCAUGUUAAAGUCGACCAAAAAGACAAAACAUAGAAAGCGACAAUCCAACAACUAGGUAAAAAUAUUCGCUGUCACAAAUGGUUGCGUUGACGUGUAUAUUUAGGAACAUCAAAUAUAAACAAAGACCAUGUGAAAAAGAAAUAUUCGCUGUUUAGUUCUCAAAUAUUCGCUGUCACAAAUGGUUGUGUUAACAUGUCCAACAACGAUUAUUAUAGGGAUGGCAAAAAUCCCCACGGGGACGGGUACUUUCGGGGAUUUUCCCUAUUCGGGGAGGGUACGAGGAUGAUUUCAUACCUAAUAUUUUAUUCGGGAAGGGGACGAGGAAAUUUUUUUACCCAAUUUCUUAUUCGGGGAGGGGACGGGGAUGAGGUGGAAUCCCCAUCCCCUACCCAUUUCCCCAUUUUAAUUUUUAAUUUUAUUUUAAUUUUUUAAAAUUACUAGUAAAUAAAUAAUAAAAUUUAAAUUAUAAAAUUAUAAAUAUUGGUAAAAAUAAAAAAUAUCAAAAUAUUUAUAUUAUUAAACUUUUAGGCCUAAUUAACUAAUUAAAGUCCUAAAUUUUUAUUUAGGACAUUAAAAAGAUCGAGUAGAUUCUAUUAGCCAAACCUUUUUUUUUUAAUUUUAAUAUUCUUUAAAUAUUUUAAACUUAAAUCUAUUUUUUAUUUAUUUAUAGAUGUUAUAAUUGCCCACAUCGAAUCACAAUUUUAAUAUCUAAUAUAAUCUAAUUUAAUAUUUGCUCUUGAUUUGCUCUGAUUUAACUAUUGUGUUGUAAAGAGAAUAGUCCACAUUUAUAAAGUGCCCACGCCAUCAUUGAAAAAGUUAAUUUUGAAUCUAAAUUCGAUUUUAUUUGUAACAAUUUUGUAUUAGACUAUUAAUUUGUUCAUGAUAGUUUGUAAAAGAAGUUUGUAUCCCUUGCAUGCUGCGUUACUUACUAAUUUAAUGUAUGUGACUUUUAUAAUGCAUAUUAAUGUAAGAUAUAUUUUGAAUUUUACUUUUAUUUGAAUUUUUUAUUUUAAAACAUUUAUAAAGUAUCCACGCCACCAUUGAAAAAGUUAAUUUUGAAUCUAAAUUCUGUACGGCCAAGGCGGAUGUACGGUACAGCAGUAUUCGGGGAGGGGACGGGGAUGAGGUGGAAUCCCCAUCCCCUACCCAUUUCCCCAUUUUAAUUUUUAAUUUUAUUUUGGGGACCCUCGGGGAUCCCCUGUUAUUAUUCGGGGAGGGGAUGAAGAUUCCCUCAAGUAAUUCUGACGGGGACGGGGACAUACACAAAAUUUCGGGGAUGGGUAUGGGGAGAUCGGUCCCCUCCCCUCCCCUCCCCAUUGCCAUCCCUAGAUUAUUAUGAAAAUUUCGGAGAAUUUGCGAGAAGUGGGAUGAUUAAGAAAAUGCAGGAACAGGACAUUUAUGACCUCUAUUAGUAAUUUGAUUUCGUGAAUCAUUUUCAAAAGGAAAAUAAUGCACACAAUUGGAGACUAGGCGAUGAUAAUGAAUGGUCACAUAACCUACUUAAUAAUUUAUGGGUGUGUUUGGUGCAUGUAAUUAUGGUGUAUUAUAAUACUGUUCACAUUAAAAUAAUACCAAACUCAUGUUUGGAACAAAAUUGCAAAGGAUUGGGGUGGAGGGCUAAUGCGUCAACUGACGCAUUAGCUUUGCUUUUUUUUUUUUUUCUGCUGUACGGCCAAGGUAUUAUAAUACUAAAAUAAUAAAUAAAUAUAGUUUUUAAUUUAAUAUAAUAUUUUUAUUUUAUUUGUUUUUACAUUAUAAUUAUUAAUAUAAAUUAAUAAAUAAAUAAUUUAUCAUUCAAUAAUAGUAUAUUUUUUAUUUUUACAUUAUAAUUUAUUAAUAAAUUUAUAACUUAUUAUAAUUAAUAAAAAUAUUUAAAUAUGAAUAAAUUUGAAUAAUAUUAAUUUAAAAUUAAUAAUAAUAUAAAUAAUAACAUAAAAUAUUAAUGCAAUUUAAAUAUAUUAAUAUAAUAUAAAACAUUAAUAUAAUAUAAUAUUUAAUUUAAAUUAAUUAAAAAAAUAAUACAGUACAGUAUAGCACCAAGCAUUGUAUAACAUUAUUAUAAUACAGUGCUAAUAUAAUACAGCAUAAUAUAAUACAUCAGUAUUAAAAUAAUAUAAUAUAACAUAAUACAAUACAGUGUGCUAAACGCAAUCUAUAUGCAUUAAUGCAGAAUCGACAAUUCUAAAUCAUGUUAAAGACAACCAAAAAGACAAAUCAUGGAAAGCGGCAAUUGCUCUAUUGCGUUGCGUGUAUUUUGGGAUCAUCAAAUACAAACAACGACCACGUUAAAAGAAAAGCAAAAGCUGACGAGAUUGGUAAAGAUACAUCAAAAGAAAGACUAAUAGAGCUUUCCCAGCAGCAUUAAUCAUGAUUAUUUGAUAAAAUAGAGGUAAUAAAUGAUUACAUAGAGGGAUGAGUCGGGCCAAGUCUUUAAAUCAGCUCUGUCGUGGAAUAUAACAGGAAUCAGCAAUCAGCAUGUAAUCGAUUAUUAGGAGACUGAUACACUAGCAAUCAGCAUUAAUCAAUUAUUUGAUAAACCAGUAAAUAUUGGGUAUCUCGGUGCUAAACAGUGUUGAGAGAUAAAAAUUAACCUGGUGUCUUCCAAGUCAACUAGAUUCUUAAUAAUAGAGAUAGAUGGUUAUAAUUGCAUGUAAAUAAUGUUAAAGUUAUAGGUUAAUUGACCAAUGGGUCUUUGGUCCAAUGGGAGAAGCCUUGCACUUACAAUGUUGAGUGCAAGGGUUCGAGCCUCCAUAAGAGCAUUAUGGAGGUUAGUUUCAGUUCUUCCUCAAUUAUCAAUUAAUUGAGUGGAGACAGUCUCUCCCUUACGAAAUGUGAGUGGAGCAGGCACCCCUCGAAUAUUAGAGAGGGUUUAAAAUAUCUAGGCAUAUACUUCAGUGUGUCAAUGUA
rnacentral:lncRNA from 1 species